rnacentral:rRNA from 1 species
UACAGAGGGUGCAAGCGUUGUUCGGAAUUAUUGGGCGUAAAGGGCGCGUAGGCGGUGCCACAAGUCACCUGUGAAAUCUCCGGGCUUAACUCGGAGCCUGCAGGCGAAACUGUGGUGCUGGAGUGUGGCAGAGGGGGGUGGAAUUCCGCGUGUAGCAGUGAAAUGCGUAGAGAUGCGGAGGAACACCGAUGGCGAAGGCAGCCCCCCUGGGCUGACACUGACGCUCAGGCACGAAAGCGUGGGGAGCAAACAGG